rnacentral:lncRNA from 1 species
UUGCUUCCCUGUUGAAGUGAAGAUAUAAAUGUUCCAUUCUGACCCACCUUUGAAAAACAAUUACUUUGCCCCAUGGAUUCUUUGUUCAAUUAGAAAUUUCCCCGGGGCAGGUGACCCAUAGUCUUAAAGAACAGGCUAAACACCACAGAGAGAUUGGUUGCUUUUUGCUUUUCAUCACCUGCAAGAUGUACAUAAAAAUCACAUAAGCUGGAAUUCAACAAAAGGUAUGUUUAUGAACUUUUAUUCUCAAAAGUUGAAAUGCUGACUUUCUCGAUUCCUCAUUUUCAGACUUUUAUUUCAGAUAAAUACUAAAAACCUAAGUGAACCUUGAUAAUGCUGUAGUGUAGAUUACUUCACUACCCCAUAUAAUAGAAGGACUUGCUGUUUAGUUGUAGAGGAUAACAGCGUUUUUCAGUGGAAAUUGAAAGUGGAAAAAUUGAAUUUUGCUCUACACAGUUAACAUAUAGUGGCCUUUUUUUGGUAUAUAUGUAAACAUGUUGACACUGGAAAUACGCAGUCUGAAAUAAAAUUAGUAAUUACUUGAAAUUAGUAAUCUCAAAUAACUUUUAAGAAGUUAUUUCUACACCCAGGAAUAAAUUAUUCUGAUUUUGUAGACAACACAGGAAUAGGCCACUGAAUAUGCAGGUAUUUAGAGUACAAAUGUCUGUGGAUAUUAUUGGCACACCAUUCUCGAGAGUUAGAAUUCGUAGACCCGCAACACAUGGACUACCCUUGCCAAUUGUUAUGGUUUUAUUUUUAAACCUAUUCUGUGAAAAAGCUCCUCGGUAUUUCAAACUUGAAUUACAAUAAAAACACCAGGUAGGGUUGUUUUUAAAUGGGUCUCACCCCAGUGCUGACUACUGUUGUUUACCAACUACAUUUCAUCUGGUAACUCCAUUGAAACUAAGUACCUCAACCAUUUUUUUUUUUUAUCAUAAAGCCUUUUUUCAAAUGGAAAGUUGUUUUUGAAGAUCUUGACAUCAGACUUUUUCAAUCUUUGAAAAUGAUGGAAACAGUUAAUAAAAAUGUUUAUUUUAGAAUUCAGGUGAUGUCUGGCUUGUGAGGAGCUGUUUAUAAGUUUGUCUUUGAAAAAGGCUUGCACACAUCACUCUGAGACCAGCUGUUUCCUGUGACUUUAACCUUACCUUCCCCAGACAAUUGAGCUGAACCUGUAUCUGCGGUACAGUAGCUGUUUGUGAUGUAUUUCUUGUUCACUGUUUCUGGGGAAUGUUUUGAAAUAUUUUAUUAUAAAUCCUUUUAAGAUAGGAUGACUACUUUCAAAAUUAUUGUUGCCUUUGGCACCAGGAAUUCAUAGUUGUGAUUGGCAGUAAGUUUGAGGAGUGUUACUUUCUAAGUUUUAACAGGUAGUUUUGAAAUUAUUUCCUUUUUUCCAAAUUUAAGUAGUGCCUCCCUCUGUAAUGUUGAAACAAGGCUUCAAGUGGAUUGUAUAGCAAGAGUUACCCUGGUUCAUGCAGGAUAAUGCGGCUGUUAUCUUUGUCAUCUGGAAUGGGAAUCUCAUGUCUUUAUCCUUAUGUGCAAUAUUUCUAUAAUAAUAGACUGGAAAGGCCACCAGAAAGUGGCUUUCAGGUACAUUGCACAAAUAGUUUCCUUAAGUCAUUAUAACUCACACAUUGCAAGUAAUUAAUUUUGUUUUGUAUAGGUGUUGCAGUUUAUGAAAUUGGCCUUCAAGUUAAAAGGAAGGAAGCCGUAUUCCCGAUGGCUAGUGUUUAAUGACUACAGGUUUCCAGGCUCCCUUUAAUCUUGGGAGCAAAUAAAUCUACUAUUGGACUUCUCCCUGCGUGACUUUUAACAUUUCUGAUACUCUCUCUUCUUCCUCUUUACAGAAGAGAGGAAAAGAAAGAAAUAAAAGCGAAACAAUUUCG